GAUGAAGAACGUAGCGAAAUGUGAUAAGUAAUGUGAAUUGCAGAAUUCAGUGAAUCAUCGAAUCUUUGAACGCAUCUUGCGCUCCUUGGUAUUCUGAGGAGCAUGCCUGUUUGAGUGUCAUUAAAUUCUCAACUACACUGACUUUGAAUUGGUGUGGCUUGGAUUUGGGGGGAAAAUUGUUGUGGGCUUUUUGUAUAGUCUGCUCCCCUGAAAUUGAUUAGCGGUACCUUUGUGGAACUGUCUACAGGUGUGAUAAUUAUCUACAUCUUAGACAUCUGCUGGAAUGCUGCUCUCUAAACCUUACUUGUAUUGACAAUCUUGACCUCAAAUCAGGUAGGACUACCCGCUGAACUUAAGCAUAUCAAUAAGCGGAGGA
rnacentral:misc_RNA from 1 species